AGCCUUCUCUCUCUUUAAUUCAACUGGGAAAUCGGGAAUCUGGAACAGCCAGCAAGCUAGCGCAACCUCCUCUCUUCCAAUUUUAUUUUUUCUAAUAUUUUUAUAAUAAAGAAUGAAAUUAUUGUUUGCUGAUGUCGUUCCCGCAUCAGUUGGCUUUAAGGUUUCACAGGAGACGGUUUCCUCCUCCUCCUGCGGUCUCCACCUGCUGCUCCUUCGCUACUCCUCCUCCCCGUGACUCUUCUUUUCUUUCCUCUUCAUCCUCUUCUUCCGUCGCUAUGUCUCCCGAAAUCUCGAUGCUCAUUCGCCGAGCUGCUUUUAUUUUCACCGCCGUCACUCUCUCCGCUUUGCUUCUUUACACUGCUAAUGAUUCUCUCCGCUUCCUUCGUUUGUCGCCCGGUUCCCUUUCUUCUCCCUCUUUCUCUCGCUUUUUCCCUUACUUGUACGAUAACUCUUCUUCUACGAACCCCAUGCAACAGCUUGAAGAAGUUUUGAAGAACGCUUCCAUGAAGAGUAAUACUGUUAUUUUAACAACUUUAAAUGAUGCCUGGGCGAGUCCCAAUUCAGUUGUUGACCUUUUCCUUAAGAGCUUUAUGCUUGGAGAUGACACACGUAGGCUUUUGGACCAUCUGGUGAUUGUUGCCUUGGAUGAAAAGGCAUAUAAUCGUUGUCAGCUUGUACAUAAGCAUUGCUAUGCUCUUGUCACUGAGGAUGUUGAUUUUCAUCAGGAAGCAUACUUUAUGACCCCACACUACUUGAAGAUGAUGUGGAGAAGGAUUGAUUUCCUGCGAUCUGUCCUUGAGUUGGGUUAUAGUUUUGUUUUCACGGAUGCUGAUAUCAUGUGGUUUAGGGAUCCAUUCCCACGGUUCUUUUCAGACGUUGAUUUCCAGAUUGCAUGCGACAACUUUUUAGGCAGACCUGAUGAUAUGAAUAACAGACCCAAUGGGGGAUUUAACUAUGUAAAGUCCAAUAAUCGGUCAAUAGCAUUCUACAAAUUCUGGUAUUCUUCACGUGAAACUUAUCCAGGAUAUCAUGAUCAAGAUGUCCUUAAUAAGAUCAAGUUUCAUCCUUUCAUCUCAGAGAUUGGACUGAAGAUUAGAUUUUUGGAUACUGCUUAUUUUGGUGGCCUUUGUGAACCUAGCAAAGAUUUGAAUUUAGUAUGCACAAUGCAUGCAAAUUGCUGUUAUGGUAUGGAUAGCAAGCUUCAUGAUCUCAAAAUUAUGCUUCAAGACUGGAGAGCAUUUAUGUCAUUGCCACCAGAUCUGAAGAAGGAAUAUAUUUUCUCCUGGAGGGUUCCUCAGAACUGCAGUCUUAGUUCUUUACGCCAUUUUGAUUCCCCACCUCCAGAGAUGAAGGCUCAACAAGAGGAAAAACAUUGAUUGGAAUUGUACAUAUCUUUAAAUUAUUUACCGUCCAAAGAUAAUAAGAGGAUGACAGAUGUUAGCAAGAUAAUGUAUCUAGUUGAAGAAGCUUGAAUGUCUAAACUUUAACACGAAAAGUAAGGCUCAAAGGAGUUUGGCUCUUUUUACUAAAAAUAUUUCAUUCACAAGGCAAACUUUUUUGAAUGAGUUGCAAGCCAGAGUAUUUUGAGAAAUAAAACGCCAAAAAAAAAAAAGAAAAAAAGAAAAAGAAAGAAUUGGGUCUAAUGAAACUGCUAAUUUUGGUUUUUGUGGGUUUUGAUGAGCAGUGAACCCACUAUAGUCUCAAGAGUGCCUUAGCACCCCUGGUAGGACCACUGUUAAUAUAAAUUGCUAAAGAGUACAAAUGUCAUUACUGAGUCACCAUGAUGCUUAAUAUUAUUUGAUGAAUCCAUGUUUGUUGUGCCUGAGAAGACAGAAAAGGUUGACAGUGAGGAUCCGCGAUUUGGUUAUUUUGCAGUGAAAAGUUGUUUGACUUUAGUGACAAUACAAGUGCCGAUUACAUGGAAAAAUUGUGCUAUUUCAGUUGAGCUGAACCGAACCAGACCAGUUUUCAAAAUUCUGUAUUAUAAAUUGCCAGACAAGUUGUUCAUGAAGGAUGAUAUAUAUGGCAUUUUUUAUUCAGUAUUUUAAUCAAUACGACUCUCAUUAUUCCCAUCA